UAUCAUCCAAUGCAAAGAAGGGGUGGGCUGCUAUUGAGUGGAUAAUUGAGCAUUCUGAAAGCGCUGUGAGCUAACGGGGUCCGCGCCUGCGCCUGGUGACAAACGGCGAGCUAAACUGCCUCAAUCUUUAAUCAGAUACAUCGCCCCCCAAAAAAAUGAAAGAGGAAAGAAAAAAAGAGAAGGAAAGAAAAAUGAAUGAAAGGAAGGAAGGAAGAAAGAAGUGAGUCCUGAAUAUGGUUCACUGGCCCAGUCUGGAAGAGGUGUGGAAUCUGCUGGAAUCUUCCGCCUGCCACUCACGGCCUCCGCCAGGCUCCUCCGUCGUGACCUCACGGCACAGGAGGCCCGGCCAUGGUGCAGGCGGAGUGCUCGUCCGUUGCAGAGAGAGACUCGGUGGUAGGGCAAGGGCUGCAACGCCCUGCCUGUCCCCCCGCCGCUGAGCCAGCAGGUGGGGAGCCGGCCCCACCCGCAGCCCAGCACCCCCACCCCGUGCCGGUGUGUCCUCGUGCUGCUCUUGUGCCUGGUCUGUUUUCCCCCAGCUGCAGCUCCCACAUCUGUCCUGCCAACUCUUGGGAUCUUACUAAACAGCUUCUCUCUUUUCAGAUCCGUUUCCGUUCCGUGCCCCUUAAUCAGCAGUCUUCACUGCCAGUCUCUUCACACAUAGCUGGCCACCAUCUGUCACCUCAGGAGUCUCUGGCUGAGUCCUUCCACACUCGUCACCCAUUCUCUGCAGUAACAUCAUUGUCCAAGGUCAGACCUUUUGGGAAGCACACCCCUUUCGGGUUUCCCUGGCACCGCCCUUCCUGGAAGCCAGGACUGGCUCUCCUCUGGCUGAGCAGCUGUGUCAUCUUUCCUGGGCAUUUCCUUGGCCCUUCUCCUCUCCUGGAGCCCUUGUCUCCUAGAUUCCCUGCUUCCUCUCUCUGUCCUAUCACAAGAUGGGAAAGCACAUAUGUAGUAGCUUCUAAGACUUGGCACAUCUGAAAAUGUCUCUUCUCUUCUCCUGCUUCAUUUAUAUCUUGGCUGGAUGUAUAAUUCCAGAUAAAAAUACUUUCACUCAGAAUUUUGAAGGCAUUGCUCCAUUGUUUUCCACUCCAAUUCUUGAUCCUCUGUAUGUGACUUUUUUCUCUCUGAAAGCUUUUAGGAUCUCUUUAUCCCUGAUUUUUGUUUUUUAAAGAUUUUAUUUUUCCCUUUUCUCCCCAAAGCUCCCCCCCAGUACAUAGUUGUAUAUUUUUAGUUGUGGGUCCUUCUAGUUGUGGCAUGUGGGAUGCCGCCUCAGUAUGUCUUAAUGAAUGUUGCCAUGUCCGCGCCCAGGAUCCGAACUGGUGAAACCCUGGGCUGCUGAAGUGGAGCAUGUGAACUUAACCACUCAGCCAUGGGGCCCUAUCCCUGAUGUUUUGAAAUUUUAUAUGACUAAGCCUUGUUUGAAGUUAUCUUUUAAAAUUCACUGUGCUGCAUUAUGUGUGUUAAAUUCCUGGUUUUGAUAUUGUACUAUAAUUAUGUAAGAUGUUACUGAGGGGAUGUGGGUGAAAGGUACACAGGACAUUCCUGUGCUAUCUUUGUAGCUUCCUGUGAAUCUAUAAUAAUUUCAAAAUUAAAAGUUAAAAAAAUAUAUAAAUAGUGACAUCAUGGAAAAUGGCAGAGGUGGACAUUCCAAGAAUCAGCCCCUCCAAUGAAACAGUCGAUAAGCUAGCAAGAAAUGACAAACUCAACUUUUGUAGAACUCUGGAUUUUAAUCAGAUACUUAAACCAACUAGGGGAGUGCCUAAUGAAUCUUAAGUGACCUACCCUGCAGAUUUUGGACUUCCCAGCCUCCAUAAUCAUGUAGGCCAAUUCCUUAAAAUAAAUCUCUCUCUCUCUCUUUUUCCAAACAGACAUUCUAUUGGUUCUGUUUCUCUGGAGAACCUUGACUAAUACACUAUUGAAGCUAAAUUCGUGUCAAUUCAAACUAGAUUUUUUUAACUUAAGAUGUUAAUUAUAAUCACCAGGGUAACCAGUAAGAAAAUAACUAAAAAAUUAUACAGAAAAAGAAACAAAGGGGAAAUCAAAAUGGUAUACUAGAAAAAAAGAAAAUCAGUCAAACACAACAGAAGGCAGUGUGGAAAGAAUUCAAGAACAAAAAGUCAUAAAAUUUAUAGAAAACAAAUAGCAAAAUGUAAGAAGCUAGUGCUUCCUUAGCAAUAAUUACUUUAAAGGUAAAUAGGUAAAAUUCAUCAAUUAAAGGACAGAGAUUGGCAGAGUGGAUGAAAAAACAUGAUACUACUAUAUAUGUUGCCUAGAAAAGACUCACUUUAUUUUUAUUUUUUUUUUUUAAAGAUUUUAUUUUUUCCUUUUUCUCCCCAAAGCCCCCCCGGUACAUAGUUGUAUAUUCUUUGUUGUGGGUCCUUCUAGUUGUGGUAUGUGGGACGCUGCCUCAGCAUGGUUUGAUGAGUGGUGCCAUGUCCGCGCCCAGGAUUCGAACCAACGAAACACUGGGCCGCCUGCAGCGGAGCGCGUGAACUUAACCACUCGGCCACGGGGCCAGCCCCAGAAAAGACUCACUUUAGAUCCAAAGACACAAAUAGGUUGAAUGUGAAAGGAUGGAAAAAGAUAUUCCGUGCAAAAGAGAGCUGGGGUGGGCAUACUUAUAUCAGAAAAAAAUAGACUUUAAGUAAAAAAUUAUUAUAAGAGACAAAAAAGGACAUUAUAUAUUGACAAGAGGGUCCAUUCAUCAAGAAGAUAAAAGUUACAACCAUAUACAUACCAAACUACAGAACCUGAAAAUAUAUGAAGCAAACAUUAGCAGAACUGAAGGGAAAAAUAACAAUUCUAUAAUAAUAGUUGGAGACUUCAAGAAUUCACAUUCAAUAAUGGAUAGGACAUCUAGACAGAGAUCAGUAAGAAAAUGAGGACUUGAACAACACUGUAAACUAACUUGACCUAACAGACAUAUAGAAAACACUUCCUCCAGAAAGAGCAGAAUACACAUUUUUAUCCAGAGCACAUGGAAUAUUCUUCAGGAUAGACCAUAUGUUAGGCCAAAAAACAAGUCUCAAUAAACUUAAGAAGAUUGAAAGCAUAUAAAGUAUCAUUGGUGAUUACAGUGAAAUGAAAUUAGAAAUCAGUAGCAUAAGGAAAACUGGAAGUUUCACAAAUAUGUGGCAUUUAAAAAACAUACUUCUAAUAACCAGUGAGUCAAAGAAGAAAUUACAAGUGAAGUUAUAUUUUGAGAUGAAUGAAAGUGAAAACACAACAUAUGAAAAACUUAUGAGAUGCAAUGAGGGCAGUGCUCAGAAGGAAAUUCAUAGUUACAAAGACCUUCAUUAAAAAAAGAAGAAAGGGGGCCAGCUUGGUGGUGCAGCUAUUAAGUUCACACAUUCUGCUUCAAUGGCCUGGGGUUCGCUGGUUUGGAUCCCAGGUGCGGACAUGGCACUGCUUGGCAAGCCAUGCUGUGGCAGGCGUCCCACUUACAAAGUAGAGGAAGAUGGGUAUGGAUGUUAGCUCAGGGCCAGUCUUCCUCAGCAAAAAGAGGAGGAUUGGCCACAGAUGUUAGCUCAGGGCGAAUCUUCCUCAAAAAUUAAUUAAAUUUUUUAAAAAGAGAAAGAUCUCAGAUCGUUUACCUGAUUUAAGGACUAGAAAAAAAAAAGAACAAAGUAAACCCAUAGCUUGCAGGAGGAAAGAGAUGAUCAAGAUUAGAGAGCAGACAAUAUAGAGAAUAGAAAGGCAAUAGAAUUCUUGAAGCUAGAAGUUGUUUCACUGAAAAGAUCAUUGAAAUUGGAAAACCUUUUAGUAAGACCAAGAAAAAGGAUUCAAAAUAAAAAAAUCAGAAAUAAAAGUGGAGGCAUUACUACAGACAUUAUAGAAAUAAAAGGAUAUAAGAGAAUACUAGGAAUAAUUAUAUACCAACAAAUUAGAUAACCUAGGUGAGAUGGACAAAUUCCUAGAAACACAAAUUACCAAAACUGAUUAAAGAGGAAAUAGAAAAUCUCAACAGACCUAUAACAGGUAAAGAGAUUGAAUCAGUAAUUUAAGACCUCCCAACAAAGAAAGGUCUAAAUAUUAAAG
rnacentral:lncRNA from 1 species